GAUGAACGCUGGCGGCGUGCCUAAUACAUGCAAGUCGAGCGAACGGACGAGAAGCUUGCUUCUCUGAAGUUAGCGGCGGACGGGUGAGUAACACGUGGAUAACCUACCUAUAAGACUGGGAUAACUUCGGGAAACCGGAGCUAAUACCGGAUGAUAUUUUGAACCGCAUGGUUCAAAAGUGAAAGACGGUCUUGCUGGCACUUAUAGAUGGAUCCGCGCUGCAUUAGCUAGUUGGUAAGGUAACGGCUUACCAAGGCAACGAUGCAUAGCCGACCUGAGAGGGUGAUCGGCCACAGUGGAACUGAGACACGGUCAAGACUCCUACGGGAGGCCGCAGUAGGGAAUCUUACGCAAUGGGCGAAAGCCUGACGGAGCAACGCCGCGUGAGUGAUGAAGGUCUUCGGAUCGUAAAACUCUGUUAUUAGGGAAGAACAUAUGUGUAAGUAACUGUGCACAUCUUGACGGUACCUAAUCAGAAAGCCACGGCUAACUACGUG
rnacentral:rRNA from 1 species